GCUGGCCAGGGGCUGUGGCCGGAAGAGCCUGAGUCUGGGGCCCACAGCAGGCCAGGCACAACUCUGCCACUCCCCAGGGAAGGAGAUGACUUUUAUCAUCAGUACAUGUCACAAGAAAACAUUUAAAAUGACACUGAAACAAUCAUUGAAAUCAUGGUGCAUGGAGGAAAAAGCCACUUCUCGACAUGGUCUGCACAUACAGUAGAUACAUUCAUUAUUGUCCAAGGGAAGACAGUAACUGCCUUUCAUUUUAAAGAGCUUGGUGGAGAGGCUGAAGAAAUGUGCUGCAGCUGAAGGU
rnacentral:lncRNA from 1 species